rnacentral:rRNA from 1 species
CCUACGGGAGACAGCAGUGGGGAAUAUUGCACAAUGGGGGAAACCCUGAUGCAGCGACGCCGCGUGAGUGAAGAAGUAUUUCGGUACGUAAAGCUCUAUCAGCAGGGAAGAAAAUGACGGUACCUGACUAAGAAGCCCCGGCUAACUACGUGCCAGCAGCCGCGGUAAUACGUAGGGGGCAAGCGUUAUCCGGAUUUACUGGGUGUAAAGGGAGCGUAGACGGCAGCGCAAGUCUGGAGUGAAAUCCCAUGGCUUAACCAUGGAACGGCUUUGGAAACUGUGCAGCUAGAGUGCAGGAGAGGUAAGCGGAAUUCCUAGUGUAGCGGUGAAAUGCGUAGAUAUUAGGAGGAACACCAGUGGCGAAGGCGGCUUACUGGACUGUAACUGACGUUGAGGCUCGAAAGCGUGGGGAGCAAACAGGAUUAGAUACCCGGGUAGUC